rnacentral:rRNA from 1 species
GACGAACGCUGGCGGCGUGCUUAACACAUGCAAGUCGGACGGAAAGGCCCUGCUUUUGUGGGUUUCUCGAGUGGCGAACGGGUGAGUAACACGUGAGUAACCUCCCCUUGACUUUGGGAUAUCUUCAGGAAACUGGGGCUAUUACCGGUUAUGAGCUCUUGCUCCAUGUUGGGGGUUGGAAAGUUUCGGCGGUUGGGGAUCGACUCGCGGGUUAUCAGCUUCUUGGUGUGGUAGUGGCUUACCAAGGCUUUGACGGGUAGCCGGCAUGGGAGGGUUACCGGCGACAUGGGGACUGAGAGACGGCGCAGACGCCUACGGGAGGCAGCAGGGGGGAAUAUGGCAGAAUGGGCGGAAGCCUGAUGCGGCAACGCCGCGUGCGGGAUGACGGCCUUCGGGUUAUGAACAGCUUUCGCCUGUGACGAAGAGUGAGUGACGGUAAUGGGUAAAGAAGCACCGGCUAACUACGUG